AUUGAACGCUGGCGGCAGGCCUAACACAUGCAAGUCGAGCGAGCGGCGGACGGGUGAGUAAUGUAUGGGGACUGCCCGAUAGAGGGGGAUAACUACUGGAAACGGUGGCUAAUACCGCAUACUAUCGGAUAACCCAUAUGGGAUUAGCGAGUAGGUAAGGUAAUGGCUUACCUAGGCGACGAUCCCUAGCUGGUCUGAGAGGAUGAUAGGCCACACUGGGACUGAUACACGGCCCAGACGCCUACGGAGGCAGCAGUGGGGAAUAUUGCACAAGGGGCGCAAGCCUGAUGCAGCCAUGCCGCGUGUAUGAAGAAGGCCCUAGGGUUGUAAAGUACUUUCAGUCGGGAGGCGUUACCGACAGAAGAAGCACCGGCUAACUCCGUGCCAGCCGCCGCGGUAAUAC
rnacentral:rRNA from 1 species